AUUAGGGUUCGAUUCCGGAGAGGGAGCCUGAGAAACGGCUACCACAUCUAAGGAAGGCAGCAGGCGCGCAAAUUACCCAAUCCUAAUACAGGGAGGUAGUGACAAGAAAUAACAAUACAGGACUUUUUUAGUUUUGUAAUUGGAAUGAGUUAAGUAUAAACCCCUUUACAAGUAUCAAUUGGAGGGCAAGUCUGGUGCCAGCAGCCGCGGUAAUUCCAGCUCCAAUAGCGUAUAUUAAAGUUGUUGCAGUUAAAAAGCUCGUAGUUGGAUUUCUGUUAAUAAUUUAUAUAUAAUAUUUUUAAUAUUUAUAUAAUAUUAACAUAAUUCAUAUUACUAUAUUUUAGUAUAUGAAAUUUUACUUUGAGAAAAUUAGAGUGCUUAAAGCAGGCAUAUGCCUUGAAUACUCCAGCAUGGAAUAAUAUAAAAGAUUUUUAUCUUUUUUAUUGGUUCUAAGAUAAAAAUAAUGAUUAAUAGGGACAGUUGGGGGCAUU
rnacentral:rRNA from 1 species